UGCAUGUUCUUGGCAACAAUGAUCAUUUAAGGAACUAUUUCUACUGGAAGGAUAUACGUAUAUUCGAGGUCCAUCAUACUCUCGUGUGGAAAUAUACUUUGGAAUCUUCAGCCAUUACCUACAUGCUCUCUCAUGCCCGAAACUUCAAUUUUGAGAUAUGCGAAGAAUCACAUGGAUAUGGUGUACCAACUUCCAAUGUAGUAGAGUGUGGAAUAUGCCCUCUUUAUACCAAAGAGAAAGAUAAUAAUUUCCUGCCGGAGAUUAUUGGGUUCACUACAAGGCUUGCGCACCAGAUCACUGAAUUAUGCGAUAGGCCGAUAGACAAGUGCCUUUUGAAAGGGUAAAAUAUUUGAUGCGAAACCAGAAGAUCUUUUGUUUUGCAUGGUCAACGUGGAACAGCUGAGGAUAACAAGUCUUUUUGUAUUUUUGGACGCAAUUCUGUGGUGGCAUUUUCUGCAUUCAUCAGUACCUGCUUGUUCAGUUUUCCUGCAUGACGACGCAUGAUGAACGCGGUUGUUUCCCCCUCCUCUUUUUGGUUGGUUGAGUUCAUAAUCUAUGAAGCCAUGUAUAAUUGAUUAAUUGUUCUUUGUAUUAGGUGAAUUGUGACUUAAUAUUUGGAUUAAAGACCGUUUCAGUUAAGAAUUUUUUAUAUAUAUUAGGUGAAACUUUUUUGUA